rnacentral:rRNA from 1 species
AGAACGAACGCUGGCGGCAUGCCUAAUACAUGCAAGUCGAACGAACUCUUCGGGAGUUAGUGGCGCACGGGUGCGUAACGCGUGGGAAUCUGCCCCUUGGUUCGGAAUAACAGUUGGAAACGACUGCUAAUACCGGAUGAUGACGAAAGUCCAAAGAUUUAUCGCCAAGGGAUGAGCCCGCGUAGGAUUAGCUAGUUGGUGAGGUAAAGGCUCACCAAGGCAACGAUCUUUAGCUGGUCUGAGAGGAUGAUCAGCCACACUGGGACUGAGACACGGCCCAGACUCCUACGGGAGGCAGCAGUAGGGAAUAGUGGACAAGUGGGCGAAAGCCUAGAUCCAGCAAGUCGCCGCGUGAGUGAGUGGAAGGUCCGUUAGGGUUGUAAAGUCUUUACCUUUUACCGAGUA